rnacentral:rRNA from 1 species
CAGUCGCCACGGUAAUACGGAGGGGGCUAGCGUUGUUCGGAAUUACUGGGCGUAAAGGGCGCGUAGGCGGCUGUUACAGUCAGACGUGAAAUUCCUGGGCUCAACCUGGGGGCUGCGUUUGAUACGUGAUGGCUUGAGUUCGGAAGAGGGUCGUGGAAUUCCCAGUGUAGAGGUGAAAUUCGUAGAUAUUGGGAAGAACACCGGUGGCGAAGGCGGCAACCUGGUCCGAUACUGACGCUGAGGCGCGAAAGCGUGGGGAGCAAACAGGAUUAGAUACCCCUGUAGUCCCUGUCUCUAUACA